CGCUGCGCUUCCAGCUCAUUGGAUUCCCGGGUUUUUGGACUACAUUUCCCAGAGGUCUCCGAGGCUCGGCCCUCCUAGGAAUCGCCCAGUUGCAUGCUGGGAGACGCGCUUACUGCGCGAAGGAUUUUUUUGGGCGCUCCGCGUUUCCCGAGACGUAGUCGUCAGUUAAGCUCAACCCUUUCGCUGCUUUCCGACGGUGUGCUGGUCGCUGGGCCCCAACCGGCCAGCCGUCCUCCAGAAAAAGCAUCCUGUGGACUGAGGAGGAGAAAGAAUCGCUACACAUCUUAAAAUCAAGGUUCAGAUGAGUUACCUUUUUGUUCAAUAAAUGAUUUGAGUGUGCAGGA